GAUAUAUAAAAUGCACACAUAUGCAUGCCACUUCUGGUUGAUCUCCCCUGAAUGAGCUAAUCCUCUAAUUGAUGUUUCAUUGGAUCCCCUUCCUUGCACAACUCCUGAGACCAAAUCAACUGACAGUGACAACUAAAGGAUAACAAUAACAAUUCUUUGUGUUUAGGAUCUUGAGGGCUCAUGGUAAAUAAAUAAUCAAUUGACCCUUCAUCUUGAGGCAAGUGUAUUAAGAAAACUAGAGUAGUACUUGCAAUCCAAUGCAAUGCAAGGCAAUGCUGGUGUCACAUGAGGUCAGCGAGGAAGGAAGAACGAGGCUAUAUAUCUAUCUAUCUAUCUAUAAGGUGGUUGGAGCAUCACAGAUCACAAAGUACAAGCAGGUCUUGAGUUGGAAGCAAUGUGGAUGGGUGUAUCCUAUGCUAAUUAUUUAUGGCCUUUAUUAGCUUGUGGCUCUCUCUCAAAGUUGUGAUAGCAUCUGAGCAGAAUAAAUAUUGUGCAGUCACAGGUGGAGAGUGAUCUGUAUUAAGUUGGACAGGGAGCAUCAGAGAAGGAAUGGCUGCUAAUUGGACCAGUGGGCUCCACACCCUCCCAGGACCUGCAUGUUUAUCUACAUUGGGCCUUGUUGGCCCAUUACCUUCAAAGCUACCUCCCUCCAUCUCAAUCUAUUGCUACCUGGCGCCUGCCAUAUUUCUCAGUUUACAUGAAAGACGCGCAUACAUGAUUAAAUGCAUAUCCUUCAGUUUUAUAUAUUUGUAACUUUUUCAGAGUAAAGAUCAUGAUAUUGAUAAUGUGCUGGCUUUGUCAGAAAAGCCAAGGUAUUAGUUAA